CAAAAUUAGCGUGUCGCUGCGAUCGGUAAUAAGAUGGCGAUUGUUUAAGUUGUCAUCUAAUAAUUUCUUCAGAUAUGAAUUAAUAUUAAUCAACCUAUGCCAUGAAUAAAACUGGAUUUAAAUUGUGGAGCAAAUUUUUGCAACAUAGAGAAGAAGGAGGAAAAAAAACUGUUGGUUAUAUUAAUCAUUUGAACAAGAAACUUUAUUUUUCUAUUGCAAAUGUUGGUUUAUGGGACCCAAUUGAUUCAACAAAAUGUGCACAUCAUGGUGGUGUUUUUAAUUUAGAAUUUUCACCUGAAGGGUCAUUAUUAGUAGCAGCUACAGAAAGAAAAAGUAUAUUAAUAUUUGACCCUCUUAAUCACAAAUUAGUGAAUUAUGUGAAUGAAGCACAUAAUGAUUGUGUUAAUUAUGCCAGGUUUUUAGAUUCAAGGAUGUUUGCUACGUGUUCAGAUGAUACCACUGUUGCUCUUUGGGAUAUUCGUUACUUGAAACAUAAGAUACGCACAUUAAAAGGACAUUCUAACUGGGUUAAAAAUAUAGAAUUUGCUAGUAAUGUUGGUCUUUUAGUAACAUCAGGAUUUGAUGGCAGUAUUUAUACAUGGGAUAUUAAUAGAUAUUCUGAAGAAGAUACACAGUUUCAACGGGUGUUUCACACAAAUGGAUUGAUGAGAAUGAGACUUACUCCAGAUAAUUCUAAAAUGGUUAUAUGUACUACUGGAGGUUAUUUAAUGGUCAUCCAUAAUUUGGAUCUAAAUAAUUUAGCUGAGGAUCUCAUGGGAUUUAAGCCAAACAUGUACAGAUUAAUGCAGAUGGGAAAUACACCUUUUCCAAUUGGUUAUUCAUAUAAUCAUUUAUUUACUGCUCAGCGUAAUCGAAUUGAACUUAUAUCAGAUUUUCCUGAAGGAAAUGAUGCUGAAAUUAUCUCUUCAUUACAAGUUCAUCCAUAUGGAUGGUGUGUAUUAUCUCGUAACACAAGCAGUGAUGAAAAUACUGAGUGGACUUGUAUUCAUGACAUUCAAGAAGUAGAGAAACCUUACAGUCAAGUGAGUGAUGAUUCCCAGCUAACAACUUUGAUUGGUGUUUCUCGGAAUGAAAAUGAAACAGUUAAUGAAUCAAGUGUAAAUAAUUCUGAAAAUUUUAAUUCUGUUGAAAGUAACAGCCUGGAAAUUUCUCGGGAAAUUUCUGGAUCUCAGUCACUUCGAGAAAGACCAGUUGUGCACAUUAGACUCAAUUAUGGUUCUCAGUCUCUCAGACACCAAGAAAUAAAUCGUUCUGAUACUCAGGGCAAUAGAAAUACAACAACAGAGAGUUACCGUUUUGGUAAUAUCGAACUGCGUAUUUCACAACGAAGAAUUACACAGUCAGUGCCAGCAGGAACUCAAAAUUCUGUGAAUUCUCAGGAAGGAACAUCUGGAGCAUCUCAAGCUUCUCCCACUAUUCAUACUAGAUCACAAAAUUCUGAUGAUAGUAAUAGCAGUGAAGAAGCAGAUAAUAGUUCUACUCAUAUUGUUCCUUCAGAACGUCCAGCAUUUUUUAUUAGGACAGGAUCAGAGCGUGGUGCUCAUACAUUUUUGUUGUUAGGUCCAAAUAGAUCUCAGGAUCAAUCAAAUCACACAUCUCAUAAGAUUUACAGAAAUACUCCUCGACUAACUCAUUAUAUUUCAGAACCUAACGUCGGUAGAGGUUUUAUCAAAGAACUCUGUUUUAGUACAGACGGUAGAUUGAUUUGUUCACCAUAUGGCUACGGAGUUAGAUUAUUAACAUUUCAUCCCUCUUGUAGUGAAUUGUGUGACAGUGUUCCUAAAUCCGUUUCUCCUCUUCAUGAAUUAAGGUCUGACUCUAGUCAUUCAAAUUAUGUUGUCAGCACCAAGUUUUCUCCCACUCAUUGCCUGUUUGUAUCUGGUUGUUUAAGUGGUAAAAUAUGUUUCCAUCAACCUGUUAUAUAGCAAAUUAAUUAGAAUUAUAAAAUUACAAUGCAUUUAUCAGAUACAUUGUUUUUAUAUUAUUAAUGUAUAUUAGAAUCUUCCAUUUUCAGAAUCUCAUUUCAGUUUUUGAGAUUAAUUUGUUUGUGACGAAGCCAAUAAGUACUUUUGAGUGUAAUAUAAACUCUUAAGCAUAUGUUUUUCUGUUGUUUCCAAAAAUUUUGGAAAAAAAAAAUUCCAUAAAUUUUGAUUGAUUGGUGAAAUGAAAAUAUUGGUAUGACACAAGAAUUACAAUUUUAAUAACUUGAAACAUCGUUUAUAAUUUUAAUAAUCUUAAAAAUAUCUUGUUUUUAGAAUUGCAGAAAGAAUCUGUAUCUAAUUCACCUUAUUGCACAUUUUAUGAAAAAUCAAUUGCCUUCCUUACAUCUGUAUUUUGUGAAAUUCUUGUAAAUAAAACUUUAGGAUAAAAUCUUAUCUAUGAUAAUCUAGUCUAAAUUAUUAAGUGGCUAUAAUUAUCAUAAGCCAUAUUUAAUAUUUUUUGAAUUUAUAUUUUAAUUGCUUUACUUAAAAAAGAAAAAAAUUCUUAUGAAGAAUAAAAUAUUAAGAUUGCUUCAUAAUUUUAUUGUAUGUAAGAGAAGAAGCAUCAAAUAAGUAAAACUACUUUAAAAACCAAUGAGGUUUGAAGUUUGUUUAUUGUAUUUUGUUCUACACACAAUGAGGUUAUAUAAUAAUAAGAAAUUUUGUGCAAAUUGAAAUUUUAAGGAUUUUUAAGGCAAGUUUUCUUAUUUGGUGUAAAAGGAAUUAAUGUAAUUUAAGAAUGUUCAUAAAAUCUUAUUAAAACUUUUAUUCUAUGAAUAUAUUUUGCAUAAUUUUUUAAAAUUAUACACAAAUGUUUACAUUAUGCCAUUUCUAUCAUUUCUUAAGGGAUGAUACAGGGUGGCCUUUAUCCAGGAGGCCCAAGUUUGAUUCCUGGCUAGAAACUUUUAUGCUGGUCAGAUGGCAAGGUGGUUAAGGUGUCAGUCUACCACCGUGGGGAUUGGAAUUGAAUUCAGAUAAACACCAGGAAUUUUUUGCAAUGAUCUAUCCAGGAUAUGCUGUUGACCCUCAUACCCAGCUAUCUCAUUGUGGACCUGAUUAAAUAUAUGAUGAGCCUGAAAGAAGCUCUCUUUAUGCACAUAAGGCAGAAAGAGUAAAAAAACCAUCUGGCCUAAAUAAGAUCUUUAACAAGUAUAAUACAUGUACUUUUUACAACUGAACAGUGACAUACAAGGUGUGAUCAAAAAAUUUCUUGAAUUAUUUUGUUUUUACAAAAUGAAAAGUGUUAGCAAGUAAAUUUUGAACCCUAGCAAUAAUCUAUCCAUUAGGAUAUUUGUGUACCAGAUACAGUCUCGGUGACUUGCAUGCAGUGACAGAGAAGAAGGGAGACUAUUUAUGAUGCCAGUGUUGCACUUCAAAAUGUCAGACCUACAGGAUCAGCAUGUGGCAAUCAAAUUUUGUUAAAUUAGAGAAAAUGGUCACAGAGGUCCACAAAUUUUUGAAAGAGGCCACAAAAAUAGCAAUCCAAAUCAAGAAGCUGAAAACUGUUGAAGUGUAAAAAUUUCAAAGACGUGGAAGUCAUAUAAGAAAAUGUGAGGACUUUAAAGACCAUUUCAAAAUUUGAGUUCUAGAACAGUUUCUAGCAGUUCCAGAAACACUGCAAAAAGUAUUAUAUCUCAAGGAGACUACUUUGAAGGACACCCAUACUAAAAUGAAGUUUAUCAUCAGACUUUGAAGAUGAUCUUUUGAAGUAGUGAAGAUUUCACAUACAAUAUAUGACUCAAGGAUUGAUUUGGUAAAUUCAAUAAAUAUAGAUUCUUUAAACAGUUAAUAUGAAAUUUAAUAAGUUUUAUCAAGUAUAAAAAUUUAUAUACAAUUUUAACUGUUGAAGUAAUUACAAUUCUGCUUUGGACAAAUAUCCACUGCCAUGUGUGGUUUUCCUAAAAAAGUUCAACGUGGAAAUGGUUUUCUCCCGUAGUGCAUUAUUCUGUGGCGAAAUGUUUUACUAGUAGAACACCGGUCGAAAUAUUAUAAGUUGCUUUGGAUAUAGUCGUUUAAAUAACAGCGUAGUGCACUUUUUAUUAAACACUAGAACAUUGCUUAAUGUUUCGUUGUCACUUCCAUGCACUUUAACCGAAGUGGAAGAACGAAUCUCGAAUGUUGUCGAAGUAUCCAUCCGUGAAUUGGGAUGGAAAGUCAAGUCCAGUUGAUUAACUCCCUUGCGACCUUCAAAUUUUUGAUAUUAAUGUAAUUAAACAUAAAAAAUAUUUAAAACUGGAAAAAAACGAAAUUAAGUGGUAGAAGGGUGAAAGGUCACUUCCGGGUAGCUGUCACGUUCCGCUUAAAGUCGAAAUCCGUGGAAGAAGGCUUCGGCAGAGAAGAGGUUUAUGUUUUUCAGCAGCAAAACAACCUUUUCCACCAAGGCCUUUUACGCUCGACGGAUUCUUCCACUAUUUCUGACUCCUUUCUGUCUAGUCCCGUCUCACGUGACCGUGUCUUCAUCGUCCAUUCCGGAACUUCUGGAUAUCGCCGCUCCAGAUAAUGGACGAGAGACGAUGCGGAGUUAUGACGACCACUUGUUUGACGUCGGGUGUAUGCGACUUCGCAUCUUUCGGAAGCACCCGUAUUACACGAGGAGAAGACGAGGCUCCAUCCUCGGGCUCAGCAUGGCCUGAUGUGUGCCACCCCCUCAAUUCUUUGAAAUUAUCCUUCCUGCAAAGAAAAAGAAGCGACUGUCUUCAAAAUAGAACUUGCAUUAAUUAAAAAAUAUUCUUAUUGUCUUAAUUUCAUCU